CAGUGAGUGGAGAUGGCGCCAUCGCACUCCAGCCUGGGCGAUAGAGCGAGACACUGUCUCAAAAAAAAAAAAAAAAAAAAAGCUGGACAUGAUACACAAGGUGACCCCAGGAGACUCCUGUGCAGAGUAGAAACACACCCCAGCACUAAACUCAGUCCCUGAAGUCCCUGUGGGAUUCUCCCCACCCCCCACCCCUGGGUCCACCUGUACCCACCUGGAAAGAACAGUGACACCGCCCCACAGCAGGAGCACCAUCAGCGGCCGCGGCACCCCAGGUAGCUGGGCCACCCCCAGGGUUUCACAGGUGGAGAGGGAGCCUGGGAACGUGCAUUUCUAGCAAUUUCCAGGUGAUGGGGCACCACACUUUUAAAAAUACACAAUACUAGGUCUUGAAAGGACUUCUAUUCACUUGCACGUUGGUGGGAUGGAGCCCUACAUUGCAAAGAGCUUUUCUUCACGUGUCCUCCUUGAGCUCAGGGGCUGGCAGCACUUGGUGGGACCUAGUAGGGCGUCCCUUGCUGACUGCACACCCACAGCUAGAGCCCAGGCCCGGAUUAUUCUCACAGGAAGCCCGCAGAGCUCCUGACACCUCCCUGGAGGUAUGAGAAAGCUGAGGCUCUGAGGGGGAUAAACUGAUUACUGGAAGGUAACGACCUUAGUGAAGUGGUGAAGCUACAGGGUAAACCCUAGUUUUAUUUCCUUUUAACUUUCAAGACUUCCUGAUUUCCUCUAUUAUGAUACCUGUGCCUUAGAGUCACCAAUGGGAACUUGAAGGAAAAUAAUGCCUGCUGAGGCCAGAUGCUCAUUUAAUUGCCUGGGGGUGGAGCCUGUUUGGUUCUAAGCCCUCCCUCUGAACUUCUGAAUGGUGAGGACUGCAAAUCAGCUGCCUCCUGCUGGGCCCUGCAGGGUGAAACCUGAUGAAGCCCCAGGAACAUUCAGUGAGGGGUUAGGAGGGAGGAGAACACGGGUGGAUGAAAAGCAAGAAGGAAAUGCACCAGCAUUCACUGGCAGGCUCUGUCACCCACAGGACAGGGAUAAAGACGUGCACACCUGCAGUGCGGACUUUCACAGCCUGGCAAUGAGGGCUUUCAGCCUCACAGGUGCCCCAAGCGCCAUCUCUGCCGGGAGCUAUGUGGAUGCAUCGGUGACAAAAUGGAAAGCCUCUGGUCCUGGCGGAGCUUGUUCCAAUCAGGAGAGACCCGAAAGCAAGAAACACAGUGAACAAAUGCAUGAUGCCCAGGGGUGGAUGGCCGCAGCACACGCCACCCAUCGCCGUGACCACACUGUCCCUCAGAGGAGCCGCUGGCCACGUGUGUCCCGUCCACAUGGAGAUGUACUUGAAGAUUCUUUACACACUGGGUUUCAAAGACUUAAGUAUGGAAAACAGUGUAAAAUAUUAAUAACACAAUAACUGAUUGUUAUCAAAAUAGUGGGCUGAAUAGAAAAUAUAGUUUGUUUAUUUAUAGAUA